AACGAGCGCUGGCGGCAUGCCUAACACGUGCAAGUCGAACGAGACCUUCGGGUCUAGUGGCGCACGGGUGCGUAACGCGUGGGAACCUGCCCUUAGGUUCGGAAUAACUCCCCGAAAGGGGUGCUAAUACCGGAUAAUGUCUUCGGACCAAAGAUUUAUCGCCUUUGGAUGGGCCCGCGUUGGAUUAGCUAGUUGGUAGGGUAAAAGCCUACCAAGGCGACGAUCCAUAGCUGGUCUGAGAGGAUGAUCAGCCACACUGGGACUGAGACACGGCCCAGACUCCUACGGGAGGCAGCAGUGGGGAAUAUUGGACAAUGGGCGAAAGCCUGAUCCAGCAAUGCCGCGUGAGUGACGAAGGCCUUAGGGUUGUAAAGCUCUUUUACCCGGGAUGAUAAUGACAGUACCGGGAGAAUAAGCUCCGGCUAACUCCGUG
rnacentral:rRNA from 1 species